rnacentral:rRNA from 1 species
AUUGAACGCUGGCGGCAGGCCUAACACAUGCAAGUCGAGCGGAAGAAGGGAGCUUGCUCCUGGAUGCAGCGGCGGACGGGGGAGUAAUGCGUAGGAAUCUGCCUGGGCGUGGGGGAUAACGUCCGCAAACGGGCGCUAAUACCGCAUACGUCCUGGGGGAGAAAGUGGGGGAUGUUCGGACCUCACGCUAUCAGAUGAGCCUAGGUCGGAUUAGCUAGUUGGUGGGGUAAGGGCCUACCAAGGCGACGAUCCGUAGCUGGUCUGAGAGGAUGAUCAGUCACACUGGAACUGAGACACGGUCCAGACUCCUACGGGAGGCAGCAGUGGGGAAUAUUGGACAAUAGGCGCAAGCCUGAUCCAGCCAUGCCGCGUGUGUGAAGAAGGUCUUCGGAUUGUAAAGCACUUUAAGUUGGGAAGAAGGGUAGUAAGCUAAUACCUUGCGGGGAUGACGUUACCAACAGAAUAAGCACCGGCUAACUUCGUG